GGGAUCCGGAGAGUGGCUUAAGGUCGUGCGGUGCCACGAAUCGCACAGGUUCCCUAGCAGGCGGCUCCGUGCACUCAUUCAUGAAGGAGCGCACACGCGUGCAUUAACACGCGCUCAGAGCGCACACACAACGAUGCCCCCAAGCGAAUCCGCAAAUCACCAACUCAGACGCUCGGGCUUGCACCCAGUGCGCGCCCCACUCACUCUCCCUAGGGUCCCCCGGGAGCUGCCACUCCCAGAUCUGAACAUAGCAAAGUCUCCUCAGAGCCCCCUCCCCCAACGCUUGACUCUGAAAUCCGCUUAGUUGGCCCCGCGGCCCCGUGUCCCCUUUUACAAGCGCAGGUUCUGAUUUCCUGAGAGAUGGCAAAGUCCCGGGCAGGAAGUUUACAAGGCUCAACGUAAACACGUUCCGGGGGAUCCUUUAAUAAUAAGAGUAGAGAAGCCCGCGGGCGCGGGGGGAGUUGGCCUGAUGCCCCUAUGGGCUCGGCCUGCCGCCGCCGCGGGGCCUCCGAUGCUGCGCGCCAGGCCGGGUUCCGGAAAGCGGGUGGCGCAGGCGGGGAGCGCGGUAGGGAGCGGCCCUGGCUGCGGGGUCGCGGCCGUGGAGAGGUGGUGCGGGGCGCAGGACCGCUGAAGAUCCCAGCUGGACUCUGCGCGCCCGAAAGCAGGGUACAGUGAGUGUUGCCUGAAUGCACAUCACUAUUGAGCCAUCCAAGGGGCGUGGGCAGCCUACCAGCAGCCAUCUAUACCUUUGGAGAAGCUCAGCCCUCUUCUCUGGAAGCAUCCGUUGUCAGUAGAUCUUCACCCACGGAUGGGACUUUAUGAGCCCUCCUCACUCCCCACUCCUGUCCAUGCUGGAUAUUGAUUGGCUCGAUCGUGUGAACAUCACCACAGCUGCCGCCUGUGACCUGAUCCACAGCUUUUGACCCUAUGAAGCAGACCUCAGGUCCCAUCAGAAAACAGUUGCUUUCUGAAACCGCCAUGCCUCUCUUUUUUUUUUUUUUUUUGGUUCUUUUUUUCGGAGCUGGGGACCGAACCCAGGGCCUUGCGCUUCCUACCUACUACCUUGAGAUCCUCUACACAGCUCCCCUGCAGCCAGAGAACCAGCUGCACAUUCAGCGGCCGUGUGACAGAUGAAAAUGUCCUACUCCCACACCGUGGCCUGUCCUGGUGUCAGCCUCUUCGUGCUCAGAAAGAAUGAGGCACCUACAACUGCUGGCCCAGGGUGGGAUUUGAACAGCUCCAGUUAUGUAACGUGUCUAUCACUGAGAUGUGUACUGAGCAUCAACUUGAUGGGACUCAGACUCACUAAGGAAACAAGCCCCUGUCUGGAAACUUCUAGAUCGUGUUCACUAAAGUGGGAGGAGCCACCCUGUGUGUUGGCAGUACCAUCUCGUCAUGGUCUGGGGUCCUGGACCUAAUGAAACGGAGCAAGCAGGCUGAGGACCAGCAGUCACCACUCUCUGCUUCCUGACUGUGGAUGCCAUGGGACCAGCUGUCUCAUGUUCCUGCCGCCAUGCCUCCCCGCCAUGAUGGACUGUAUCCCCUCACACUGUGAGCCAAUGUGAACCCUUCCUUCUUUAAGGUGUUUUAGUCAGGUGUGUUAUAGCAGUGAGAUAACAACAAAUACACUGCAGACACGCACGUGCACGGUGUGCAGGGCUGGUGUGGACUACACACUCCCCACUUGUCUAGCUAAGCUCUCGGCAUCUCCUUCAGCCCCUUUUCUAGAAUGAUCCGCUUCUAUUCCUCUGCACCCUCCUUUGGCUCAUAAAAUAAAGUGCAGAUUCCAUCACUGGACAUAAUUAUCACCCAUCCCAAGUUGGUACAUCUGUAUCCUGUCACAACUGGACUCUGCCCUUACCCCUAGAUCAUGGAGCUCCAUUUCUGCCCAUUUGGAAGCAGCUUGCUCCCUCCUUUGCAGCCCGGAUGGGCGUAUGUAGCUCUUCGAGCACAGCUGGGGAGAAGCGAGAACUGGAAAGCACCAUACGCAAGUCUGAACACCAGUGUCAGGGUCCAUGCUGCAGAUUCGAAAAGGUCUGAGGCAAAGGGAAACACCUCUGGGAGCCUGAGUCAAGCACUGCACAGGGUGGGCGAGCCUGUGUGAGCAGAGCCUGGUGCUUUGGGUCUUUCUAGCACGGGGCUCUGUCCUGUGCAGCCCUGGCUUCCCUUCACAGCAAGCGGAGGGUAAGAAGAGCAGCGAGUUUCUGGCAGAGGAAAAAACAUGGAACGCCCAACCACAGAAUUCCCAAAAACAUUGCUAAGCAUUAAUUUCGCUAACAUGUUAGAUGGCACGCAGGUCUCCGCAGGCUCAUUCCUGGGCUAGACACAGUUCCCAAAAGCCAUCUGAUUCCACAUCCCCCCUGGCCAUGUGUGGAUAAUGAGCAAAGCCAUCUGGGCUGGCCCUGGCCUUCCAGCCACUGGGGCCAGGCCUUCCCCAGCUCUGGCCCAGGCCUGCCCAUGGGAUACCUUAGGCACCCUCCUCCGCCUGUCUUCCUGCCCUUGGUAAAGACCAGGGCAAAUAUGCUCAGAGGGGUUCUCGAGCCCCAGUCCCACAGGCCCAAAGUGGCUCCGCCUCCCAACCAUGCAGUGUCUCAUGGGGGACAGACUAAAGGAAGAGGCUGCUGGAGUAAUGUCUCUUAGGUCUUGACUCACAAACAUCAUUUCCAUGGUUUUCUUUGAAAGACACACACACACACACAACCAAACCGAUUUUAAUUAAAGAUCUUGUCUUGUGGUCAGGCGGCCACAAAUGAGGGCAGAGUAGCUUUCAUGUGAGGAGCACACACAGGACUGAGCCUGUUUCCCAUAAAAGGGCACCCCCCCACCCCAAAUAAGAAAAUAGUUUGUUCUGCACAGUUCAGGAAUGCUAGGCAAAGCUGUCUUUUGCAAAGUCUACAGUUGAGGGUCUCCCCACCACAGCCUCUGUGGAUGUUGGAGUAACUGGGGCAUUUGUCAACCCCCGGUGCCUGCUGGGAUCAUCCACACAGAGACUAGAUGCUCAGUCCUGACUGUGACACACACACACACACACACACACACACACACACACACACACACACACCAGCCGAAAACCACGUUAGCACACCCAGGAGCACCCGGAAGCUCCCAGGCUUUCUGUAGACUGCUGAGAUGUACGUUCCAGCCUUUGUUUAUAAGAAUUGGAUGGUGUGUGUGUGUGUGUGUGUGUGUGUGUGUGUGUGUGUGUGUGUUGUGGUUGGAGAUGGCUCAGAGGUUAAGAGCACUAGAUGCUCUUGUAGAUGCCUGGAUCGGAUUCCCAACACCCACAGGGUCCCGUACAACCAUCUGUAACUCCAAUUCAAGGGGCAAAUAAUGCCCUCUUGUGGUCUCCAUAGGCACCUGGCAGGCACGUGGUGUCCAUGCAUGCACACAGGCAAAACACCCGUGCACAUAAAGAAGCACGACUUUAAAUUUGAUUACUGUGUAUGCAUGAUGCGUGCCAAGGUCAGAGGACAACUUGCGGGAAUUGGUUUCUGCCACCGAUUAGCCUUGCCCAGCCCUGUCCCUAUUUUUUAUUGUGAGACACUUUCAGUAGUUUCCCUGGGUUAUCCAGAGAACCGGUGGGGACCUGAGGAGAGAGGAGAUUGGACCAUUGGCUGAGGAACAUAUGAAUCCAGGGUCCAGGAUUCAGGGACUAGCCCAUGGUCUGGGCUGGGCUGAGAACCUGAGUGGGGGUGUGCUGAGUACUGUGUGAUAAGUACUGUACAAUGAGCACCACAUGUGAGUACUGUGUGCUGAGCACUGUGCAUUGAGUACUAUGUGAAAAAGUACUGUACAGUGAGCACCAUAUUGUGAGCACCAUGAUGAGCACUGUGCAAUGAGUACUACAUGAUAAGUACUAUAUAAAGAGCACCACACUGGGCACUGUGUGAUAAGCAAUGUGGACUGGCACUGUGAUAAGUACUGUAGAGUGAGCACCGUGUGCUGAGCACUGUGCAUUGAGUACUCUGUGAUAAGUACUGUACAGUGAGUACCGCACGUGAGUACUGUGUGAUGAGCACUAUGCAGUGAGCACUGUGUGAUGAGCACUAUGCAGUGAGCACUGUGGAAUGAGUCCACCGAGGGCACUGUACACCCCAGGUUGGAGCCGUGAUCUGGACUUUACCAGUCUUCACACUCAGAAGUUGUCUUCUCUGUCCUGUGUAGAAUGCCACACACUCUGUCAGAGGCUCACCUUUCUUUCCCUUUGACAUGGGACAAGUGUCUCAGGUCUGUUUCAUAGAGCAGAGAAGGAACCUCCAGGUCCCUAGUAGCCCAGAGCUUCCCACAGGGCAGCACCCACAGCAGCACCCUCUCCAUGUAGCCAGAGCCUCCGGCACACACUGUGGUUUCUGGGGGAUUGCAGUGGUCUCCAGGAAAAGAGCAAACAGGAGCUUUGAGAAUGAAGACUCCUCUCUGUUUCAUACGGAGACGCCAGGGCGGUGGCCCUCUCCUGUGUGACACUUCGAUCAUACCCUCUGCCCUCACACACCUUUGUUCAAGAUGGCUGCUUCAGCUCCACCUGCCGCCUCUAUGUUUCCAGUCAGCAGGAAAGAGGACCAUCUUGAAGGAAGGGCAGGGACUACAGUUAGUUGUCUGCUGCGUUUAGGGGAUAAGACGACUAAAUUCUUACCUUAAUCUUAUUAGCUGUAAUGCGGUCACAUGACCUCAGCUACCAGCAAUGGAGGCUGGGAAGCUUGGCUUGAUUUCUGGGUCUGUAUACCUGGGUCCAGGGGCUGUUCCUGUGUGUCCCUAGUAUUCACGGCACAGCCAGGACCGUAGGAGGGUUUCUGCCACUGGACAAAUGUGUGCACGGUGUAGCAGAGGGACUAAUGUAGGACUAACUGGGUCCAGUCCCAUGAUGUGGGACUGGUUGGGCGGCAACUUGGAGUCCAUAUUUUACCAUGGCAAGGGUGAGGGUGUGAAAUCUACAGAGAUAGCUUGCCCUCCCUAGAAGCCAGGAGCCCUCUCCUUUUGCCUGGGUCAUUUCAUGAUCCUACCCCUCUAACACCAGGCUAGCCCUUGCAGAGAACGUCCUGGGUAACCCUGGUCCAUAGUCUUCAUUCAUUGACUACAGUCACUGGGACCUGGUUGGCUGCAGACAGCUGUGAGGAAAGGUCAUCUUUUAUAAUUUGAUUAGCAAUGGAUCCCUUAAACACUGGCAGAUGGGAGUCCAUUCACUUGUUUGGGGGGGUGAGAAGAAAAGGGGGCCUCCAUAUCCUUGUGGGGGACAGACAUAUUCCUGAACACUCACCCAGACCAAGAACUGAGGAGGGGGUCAGGAACCACCCACACAGCACCCCCAGACGGCAUUGCAGCUGCGGCUCCUUAAGUCCUGCUUGGGGCAAAGGACUCACAUCGCCUUCUAUCCUGGCAAAAAUGUGACAAAGGGCUCUGUCUUCCCCCUCUGUCCUCAGCAGAGGUAGAGAGGAGAAAUCUGAGCCCUAGGAAGGUCUUCAAAGCUCUGCUGUCCCACUUGUAGUUUGAUAGGAGAAAUUAAGGCCCAGAUGGUGGAGUCCCUCAGAGGCCCAGGAGAACGGGGGCUACACUACACCACAUCGGAUUCCUGGAAGGCUCGCCCAGAACGAGCACACAGGUCUCAGGAGUUCACUGUCCUGUCGCCAGGCCCUUCGGUUCCCAGCUUUGGUAGUUCUGCCACCAUCUGUAGAGAGAAGGCCCCCGACUCGGGGCCCAUCUUUAUUUCCUCACGGGAUGGGGCCGCUGUGGUGCCUGUGGCUUCUUAGAAAAGGUGCCCCGUGAGCCAGCGUCCCCACCCUUGGCACACUGUCUGCUCUGGUCCGGGGCCUCUCCAGCCCUGGAUGUCUGAGGCUCUGUUUCCACCCAUGACAGUGCCCUGGGGCUCUCUCUGCAGCUUACUUCAGCAUUGAGUUACCGAGGAACCUCUGCCAGGAACAGAAACUUCGAGGCUCAAAGAACUGGGUGACCUCAAGGCAUUCAGAGACAGCUGGACAGAGGACAUUCACAAGCCUCAGGUCCAGUUAGGGUGGAUAUCUGGAAACGGGCUGACUUCUUCCCCAUGUCUGCAUCCCAAGAACGUCGCUCUGAAACUCCGAGGCCAGGGAUGUGGCUCACUUGAUAGGGUGAGUGCUCGGCACACAAGUCCUGGGGCCCACCCAGGGCAUAAACCAGAUAUGACGGUGCAUGUCAGCAAUCCCGUGGGAGGUAGAGGCAGAAGGAGCAUCAAUUUGAGGAAAUCCUGGGCUACCUGGCAAACUCGGGGCUAGCCUGAGCUAUACCAGACCCUUUUCGUAAUAAAACCCCAACUCCAAUGAAAAGCCUGCUCCGAGACUCUGCAUCUUACCCUCAUUUCCUCCUCAAGAAUGGAGGCUACCCUAGCCACCUUUGCCUGCCUUUCCUUUGGGGGUUGGUGGGCUACCUGGAGAGCCUGCCGUGCAGCCGAGGGAAGGGGUUCACAAGCUUGGUCCUUGCUCACCGUCUCUUCUGCCUGCCUAGGCUGAUAACGGCUGCAUUUAGACAUAAGUGACACAUUUUCCUUACAUCUGCUCCAAAUUUUCGUCUCAGAAAUUAGAGUGCUCGGUUCCACGGUAUUACGCGGCACUCCACUGGCCUGGGAGUGCAGAGCUGAUUGGACGUCCCACCCAAAGGAGAGGCGGUUGGUUCAAGCUCUUUCCAGGAAAUUGAGUGGAACACCCAAACUGACAUCCAAUAUUAAAUAUUAUAUUUGUGGAGUUGUUCAGGAGAGUUCCCUGGCACCAGACAUCUGGGAGAGAAACUUGUAAGUGGGGAAACUGAAUGCCUCGUUGGAAUGAGGCUCAUCAGCGCUGGGAAAUUAAAUCAUCACUGUACACGGGGCAGGGCGGGCUACGUAGAAAGGUAGGGCUAUUAAAAUAUGAUUAGCCCAACUGUAUUUUGUCUCAAAAAAUGUCAUACACCAUUAAAGUUGAAAAGACUUUGAUGCCAGUACCCCUGGCAAGGACUGUGCCCCGUCAGCAAAAUGGACCCCAGAACAUUCUCUUGCAAAUAGGCAGGCUCACCAAGCAGGGCAGGACCCAGAAAACCAUAGCUGCACCCCCAAAUCCAAGCCCCGCCGUUCACGAGUCUCAAGUGUUCCAUGCAUAGGCCAGGCAGAUUCAGGAAGUAGGGCACGGGGCUGGGCCACCUGCAAGGGUGCAGCUUGGUGGCAGAGAACUUUCCCAGCAUGGGUGAGUCCCUGAGUUCUGUCUCCAGCAACUCAAAACAAAUGUGUUUCUGAAAUCUGAAUGAUCAAGAUUAAUGGUAUUUUAGAGUAGGAACAAAAACAAAAAUGCUAAACCAUUAUUUGCUGUGAUUGGCUAGCCUGUUUUGUUUUGUUUUGUUUUUAUAAAUAAAGUUUUAUUAGGCUAAGGGCCAGGAUCAGGGCAGGGCUGUCUAGGAAGGGUUUUAUAAAGUCAGAAUCCUAUUUGGUACUUUAAAAAAAUUUUGGUAUUUUACUUGUUAGGGAGUUUUACAGUUUUGAUUUAUCUUUUUUUGAGGCAGGGUCUCCUGUAGCACAGGCAGGACAUGAGAUUACUAUGUGGCCAAGAAUGAGCAUGACCUUGAAUGGCUUCUUCUACUUCCUCCUUCCGAAUGCUGGAAUUAUAGGCAUUCGCAACCACUCUAAUGGUGCUGGGAAUGGAACCUGAGGGGGCCAUGUUUUCUGGGCAAACCUUACACCCACUAAGCCCUAG
ensembl:lncRNA